GCACCGGCCGUGUGCGGUCACACCUCGUCUUCCUAUUAUAGCAGGGUUUCGUUGUUUCUGAGGCGAAGUGGGGGUUCGACUCCCCACCGGUGCA